UCUGUCUCUCGUCGCCCCGGCCUCCGACGGGAGGUACUCUACAGCCCGAGGGGCCACCUCGCAACCUGCAGUUCGAGGAGGCGACCUGGCAUACGCUGCGAGGAGCCGCCCCACUGCCCCUCUUCGACCACCUGCGACGUCUCCCCUACCCCCUCUGUCCUACCGUGUUUCCAAAUCUGCCUACAGUAGGUAGCCUUCAUCAUUGAUUCUUUUUAAUAUUUUUCGUCCAAAACUGUGAUUUCACAUUAGAUCUAUCUAGUUCGAACAAGUUUAUGCCGGCUUGUUUGUGUUUGGGUAAUUGUAGGGUGGUUUAGGAACAUCUUAGGCUUGUACGGACAGGAAGGGAGCGCAUGCAGCAUGGUUCAUAGCAGAGUUUUGACCAGUUCGUCAGUGUACAAAGCAACGACCUGGACCAGUUGUCUAAUCGACGGUUUCAUAUGUGAAUUCUGAUUUAUAUAAAAUUUUGUGAGUUGUCUCCAUUAUUGUCUGUAAAAUCAUGUUCUAAUAUGUGUCGUUUGCAGGACAAAAGCUGACGGAAAUAUGAUAAGAAAGUGAGGUCCUUGUGUAUGAUAAUGGCUUGCCAAUGUUGCAAAAAAUAAGAUCUCAGGUGAGAGCUCUUAUGGAACUGAAAAAGAAUACUGGAAUAGGAGGAAAUAUAAGGGCCACUGGCUAAGUAAGUGGGUCAUCACAGCCACCCAAGAAAAAGAAAACGAUUGUGUGCUUGCAGUUGUAUACAUUCAAUACUUCCUCAUGAUAUAUACCAUCUGUUUCACACAUAUUUAUGUUUUCUUCCAGUCAAAGAACGGCAUGAGUGAAGCUAAUGAAGGACGUAACUCAUAGGAGUUUUGCUUGUGUCAGUAAUUGAAUGGUAAAUUUUUACAGAAUGCUAAUUCUCAGAUGUUUAUGUCUCUUCCUUUUUACUUAUUUAGAACACCUUGUAUAUAGCAGUCUUAGCUCUGUACAAGCUACUAAACGAUAUAGAAAGUUGGAGUUCAAAUUUAUAAAAUCUGACCCUGGGAACCACAUUAGUACAACAUAUCUAUUCAAGCUUGAGGUUGUUUUAUUGGAACUGACCAUGAGACUGUUGAAGUUACUCUUGUGGACUGGCAAUGAGAAGAUAGUAGCAACUGCUUGGACAUGCCAAAUUCCUAAAAUUUUAACUCUAAUGUACAGAAACAUUUUACUGAUUUUUACACUGGAAAUUUGAGUGUUUGUUUACCGAAUAUUAUAUGUUGUGUUUUUUUAACUUACACUCUGUUCCUGCAGCACAUGAAAGUCACUCUUAAAGAUGGUACAUGCAUCCUAGAAAAUAACUGUCUUGUUAGUCUUGGCAAAAUAUUGGUAUACUUACAGUACCAGUGCUGACAUCUAAAUUUAGUUGGCGAUGUGGAAAUGUGUUAGAUAAUUUAUUGUCAGGUUUUCUUAUCAAUCCUUGCAUUUUAUAUGUGUAUAGCAGCACCCCCAUUAUCAUGCAAAAUAGUAUCAUGUUCAGACUUGAUCAUGGCAGCUAGGAGAAAUGUAUGAUUUAGUACGCAAGAAAAUUCCUGUGAGAAAUUACUCCAAAGAAAAUGCUAGCUGCUAGCAUAUAUCUAUUUUGAUCACUAACUGAAAAAUCUGCAUAUCUCUGAAAAUGAAGUAAUCACCUUUCCUAACACUUAGAACUUGUGUGGGAUAUAUGACCAUAAAGUGCGGUUCCUAGUAGAUAUAAACUAAAUCUUGCUAUCUUUUAAAGAUCAGGCACAAAAUAAAUACUUGACCAUUAUUUUUCCGGGAAGCAUAUUUUAGUUCAGUGCCACAAAUCAGGAUUACACCCAGCUCUAUUUUAGAGAAACAUAGAUGUUGCAGCCUGUUGCAGCAUAUGUUUAGUUUCAGGAUUUUAACCAUAGUACAACAUAUGCAAAUCUCUACCGUAUACCACAUAAUGUUUCAUCGCAUGCAUGAACCGCAACACAAUCAAUGCCCUGUAAAUUGAAAUUUUUUACGAUUAAAUGAGUUCUUUAGGAUUAAAUGGAUUGUUUUCAUCUAAGUGCACCUCCUGAUACUACAUAUAUGAUUGCUGGUACAUGUAUAUAUUUAAUAGUGUGUAUAUGAUUGUUUGCUGAUUGAGUAACCUGGAAUGCAAAUAUCUAAAAUUACAGCAUUUACUCCUAAUGUUUGGUGCCAGAUUUUAGCUAUAGCAGACCGUAACAUAUACUGUUAAAUAACUCAUAGUAGACAUCUGGUAAUAUAUGUAUUACCCGAUCUAGCUCCUAGAUGCCUAGCUAGAGUGCAUCUGUUAUCGAGCAAAACGAGAGGCAUGUGCAAGUGCACUUCAUACAUAUAUGACUGCUAGUACAUGUAUAUUUACAAGUGCAUAUCUGAUUAUUUGCUGGUUGAGGAACUUCAUAUGCCAAUAUCUAAAAUUACAAUAAAAUUAUUCCUGAUGCCUUAGAAGAGAUUUGAUUGCUUUAUCAAUGAGCGCAUACAUUUUUAUAUUAAGUCAUAUGAUAUGUUAGGUGCUAGCCUGACUUCGGCCGAUGUUCGUGCUGAUAAGGUUAUCUUUUGUAACCUGUUUUGCGGCACAUCUACUUUUUAGAUCUUUGGGACCAUGGCCACUCACAAUUCUUAUUUUCUAAGAUUGCUCAAGAGUUCUUUUGCAGGGCAAAUGGAAGAAAGUAGCAAGUCCACAAGUUGAUCUAAGAUGUUCCGGUGACUGCUUUUGUUCAUAACAUGGUUGACACAUUUUGUUUAUAUGGAAGUUAAUGUCAGCUUGGGGAUCGAAGACUUGGUCUCUUCCAUAAUUUUUUUGUGGUAGUGAUCAAACAUUUGGUCUCUUAGGAACUUGGCCAUCAUAUUUUGUAAGAGGCCAUGACCUGAAUGUUGACUUAUGUAUUUCCUUAAUGGAUGUAGCUAACUUGAGUGAAGAAAACUAACAAAUCUUAUAUAUGUUGAAUAAAUGCAUUGAUCAAUGGUAUCUUGUGAAGAAUAGAAGAGUGCAAAUGUUUGUAUAUGUAUUGGGUACUGAACAUGAAAUGAAUGCAUUGAUUAAUGAUAUCUUGUAAUGGAUAGAAGAGUGCAAAUGAUAUGUAUUGGGUAUUGAACAUGAAAUGAUUAUUAUGAAUUGCUUUUGUGUAAUGUAUGGUACAUCUGCAAUUAUACUGAAAUAUAGGCCCUGACAGCAAGUAUGUCGGCAUAAGUAUUGGAUGAUGCAUAAUGUGUCGGCGUAGCACAUCGUCACAUGAACUAUCGGCAUAUUAAUGGGUGUCGCACCAUCUGUCGCCAUAUCACACUAUCAGACGAACUGUCGGUAUAUAAAUGUCUGUCGGUGUAAAGAU
rnacentral:lncRNA from 1 species